CCUACGGGGGGCAGCAGUGAGGAAUAUUGGUCAAUGGACGAGAGUCUGAACCAGCCAAGUAGCGUGAAGGAUGACUGCCCUCUGGGUUGUAAACCUCUUUUGUCAGGGAGCAACGCCGGCUACGUGUAGCCGGACUGAGAGUACCUGAAGAAAAAGCAUCGGCUAACUCCGUGCCAGCAGCCGCGGUAAUACGGAGGAUGCGAGCGUUAUCCGGGUUUAUUGGGUUUAAAGGGUGCGUAGGCUGGGAGGUAAGUCAGCGGGGAAAUGCCCCCGCUCAACGGGGUGAAGUGCCAUUGAUACUGCCUUGCUGGAAUGCGGAUGCCGUAGGAGGAAUGUGUGGUGUAGCGGUGAAAUGCAUAGAUAUCACACAGAACAACGAUUGCGAAGGCAUCUCACGAAUCCGCGAUUGACGCUGAUGCACGAAAGUGUGGGUAGCAAACAGGAUUAGAUACCCGUGUAGUC
rnacentral:rRNA from 1 species